rnacentral:rRNA from 1 species
AACGAACGCUGGCGGCAUGCCUAACACAUGCAAGUCGAACGAGACCUUCGGGUCUAGUGGCGCACGGGUGCGUAACGCGUGGGAACCUGCCCUUAGGUUCGGAAUAACUCCCCGAAAGGGGUGCUAAUACCGGAUAAUGUCUUCGGACCAAAGAUUUAUCGCCUUUGGAUGGGCCCGCGUUGGAUUAGCUAGUUGGUAGGGUAAAAGCCUACCAAGGCGACGAUCCAUAGCUGGUCUGAGAGGAUGAUCAGCCACACUGGGACUGAGACACGGCCCAGACUCCUACGGGAGGCAGCAGUGGGCAAUAUUGGACAAUGGGCGAAAGCCUGAUCCAGCAAUGCCGCGUGAGUGAUGAAGGCCUUAGGGUUGUAAAGCUCUUUUACCCGGGAUGAUAAUGACAGUACCGGGAGAAUAAGCGCCGGCUAACUCCGUG